GGAACACCGAUAAAUACGCCUGCGCUUUAACGUCGCGCUACCCUCCAUUACUUCUUCCCUUCUCCCUCUUUCCAUCCCCUUUUUUUAUUCCCUUUUUUUUUUUGUUUUUUUAUUCAAACGAAUUCACAGUGUUGUGCAAUAGAUGACGCGAAGAUCAUCAUCGGCCAACACCUGCAUCCGGACUGCGCUUCCAUGCUUUCGAAUUUUUAUUCCAAGUUCGCAAUAAAUAUCGGUGGAACGUCGUUACAGAAUUAUUAAAGAUACGCCUUGCACGUCGGUCCCGUGUGUGGCAAAAAAUCAAAUUGCAGAAAAAGAAAAAAGAGAAAAAAAAAUCGACAACCCGCAAAUCGAAAAACGAUAUCAGGGAUACGUAAAAUAGAACACGAGGAUCGUUGUCCAGCCGAAGCGAGGGCUACGCCUUCGAGGAAAGCGACGAUUAUCGUUUCCAAAAUCGCGUGCCUUUUCAAUCCGGGAGUCGUGAAGAGAAUCGAUCGUUACACAAUAUACAAAAAGCUCUAAACUGCAUCACGUAAGCGAGAGUCAGCCGAUGCUGCCGAUGCUCGUGGUGCAACGGGGGAACGGAUGAAAAUAUAAACUGCACAACGGUAGUGCAGCGGACGGAAGACCGUGACCUUACCAUCGAGGUCGGGGUUGGGCGUGUACGGGACAAAGCAAUCGCCAAUUUUGGUUUCAAACUAAAAAUGAAGAGAAUUCAACGCUUUUCCUUCGACCGAAUCGACCGUAUUUCGACAAAUUUUCCCAACGAUUCGAAAGAAACCGGAAAAAAAGGAAGAAGAAAGUACAACGAUCCGAUGCUUCGGUGAACUUUUCCUCAUCUCCUUCCCUAUACGAAGACCCGGGUCCCCCUACGGAGUCGCGGCAAUGGUGUCGGUGACCUAGGAGUCGAAGAAGUUGCGCGGGACGUACGUACGAGGCGGCGGCGGCGGCGGCGGCUCCGGCCCCGGCCGUACUACGUUGGCAAAAGUACAAGUGGUAGCGGUCAGCGGCUCGUCAGACGCGCCCGGCCAGUAGCGCAUCCAGGGUCAGGUCCGGCGAAACGGCGUGUAGACGCCAGACGAGCGGAGCGGCGCGCUAGAACGCGAGAAAAUUCGAGGGUCGGCCGAAUUCGGCUGUGCGUGUACGCGGCGCAAUAGGGUACGCCGAGAAGAAGGCGGCGACGAAAUUACAACCCGACGAAUAAACCGCGAGGACGUAGAG
rnacentral:lncRNA from 1 species